rnacentral:rRNA from 1 species
GACGAACGCUGGCGGCGCGCCUAACACAUGCAAGUCGAACGGAGUCACGAGGAGCUUGCUUUUCUUGACUUAGUGGCGCACGGGUGAGUAACGCGUGAGUAACCUGCCCUGGAGUGGGGGAAAACAGUUGGAAACGAGUGCUAAUACCGCAUAAGCUCACGGAUCAGCAUGGAUCUGCGGGAAAAGGGUUUAUUCGCUUCAGGAUGGACUCGCGUCAAAUUGGCUAGUUGGUGGGGUAACGGCACCCCAAGGCGACGUAUGGUAGCCGGGCUGGGAGGUUGAACGGCCACAUUUGGACUGAGACACAGCCCAGACUCCUACGGGAGGCAGCAGUGGGUGAUAUUGCACAAGGGGGGAAACCCUGAUGCAGCGACGCCGCGUGGAGGAAGAAGGUUUUCGGAUUGUAAACUCCUGUCGUGAGGGACGAUAAUGACGGUACCUAACAAGAAAGCACCGGCUAACUACGUG